CUGGCGGCGUGCCUAAUACAUGCAAGUCGAACGGUCUUUCUAUGGAAGCUUGCUUCCACUGAGAAGAUAGUGGCGAACGGGUGAGUAACACGUGGGUAACCUGCCCAUAAGAGGGGGAUAACAUCCGGAAACGGGUGCUAAUACCGCAUAGUUUUCUUGAUCGCAUGAUUGAGAAAGGAAAGACGGCCUUUGUGCUGUCGCUUAUGGAUGGACCCGCGGCGUAUUAGUUAGUUGGUGAGGUAAUGGCUCACCAAGACGAUGAUACGUAGCCGACCUGAGAGGGUGAUCGGCCACAUUGGGACUGAGACACGGCCCAAACUCCUACGGGAGGCAGCAGUAGGGAAUCUUCCGCAAUGGACGAAAGUCUGACGGAGCAACGCCGCGUGAGUGAAAGAAGGUUUUCGGAUCGUAAAACUCUGUUGUCAGAGAAGAACAAGUUGGAGAGUAACUGCUCCAGCCUUGACGGUAUCUGACCAGAAAGCCACGGCUAACUACGUGCCAGCCGCCGC
rnacentral:rRNA from 1 species